UACGGAGGAUUCGAGCGUUAUCCGGAAUUAUUGGGUUUAAAGGGUGCGUAGGCGGCCAUUUAAGUCAGCGGUGAAAUUUUGCAGCUUAACUGUAACAGUGCCAUUGAUACUGGUUUCCUUGAGUGUGGAUGAAGUAGGCGGAAUUUGUGGUGUAGCGGUGAAAUGCAUAGAUAUCACGAGGAACUCCGAUCGCGUAGGCAGCUUACUAAACCAUAACUGACGCUCAUGCACGAAGGCGUGGGGAUCAAACAGGAUUAGAUACU
rnacentral:rRNA from 1 species